GACGAACGCUGGCGGCGUGCUUAACACAUGCAAGUCGAACGGAAAGGCCCUGCUUUUGUGGGGUGCUCGAGUGGCGAACGGGUGAGUAACACGUGAGUAACCUGCCCUUGACUUUGGGAUAACUUCAGGAAACUGGGGCUAAUACCGGAUAGGAGCUCCUGCUGCAUGGUGGGGGUUGGAAAGUUUCGGCGGUUGGGGAUGGACUCGCGGCUUAUCAGCUUGUUGGUGGGGUAGUGGCUUACCAAGGCUUUGACGGGUAGCCGGCCUGAGAGGGUGACCGGCCACAUUGGGACUGAGAUAGGGGCCAGACUCCUACGGGAGGCAGCAGUGGGGGAUAUUGCACAAUGGGCGGAAGCCUGAUGCAGCAACGCCGCGUGCGGGAUGACGGCCUUCGGGUUGUAAACCGCUUUCGCCUGUGACGAAGCGUGAGUGACGGUAAUGGGUAAAGAAGCACCGGCUAACUACGUG
rnacentral:rRNA from 1 species